rnacentral:rRNA from 1 species
UUGAACGCUGGCGGCAUGCCUUACACAUGCAAGUCGAACGGCAGCACGGGAGCAAUCCUGGUGGCGAGUGGCGAACGGGUGAGUAAUAUAUCGGAACGUGCCCAGUCGUGGGGGAUAACGUAGCGAAAGCUACGCUAAUACCGCAUACGAUCUACGGAUGAAAGCGGGGGAUCGCAAGACCUCGCGCGAUUGGAGCGGCCGAUAUCAGAUUAGGUAGUUGGUGAGGUAAAGGCUCACCAAACCGACGAUCUGUAGCUGGUCUGAGAGGACGACCAGCCACACUGGGACUGAGACACGGCCCAGACUCCUACGGGAGGCAGCAGUGGGGAAUUUUGGACAAUGGGCGCAAGCCUGAUCCAGCAAUGCCGCGUGCAGGAUGAAGGCCUUCGGGUUGUAAACUGCUUUUGUACGGAACGAAACGGUGAGCUCUAAUACAGUUUGCUAAUGACGGUACCGUAAGAAUAAGCACCGGCUAACUACGUG